AGGAAGUAAAAGUCGUAACAAGGUUUCCGUAGGUGAACCUGCGGAAGGAUCAUUAUUGAAUUUAAACUUGGUUGGGUUGCUGCUGGCCUCUCGGGGCACUGUGCACGCCUGGCGCCAUUUUUAUAACCACCUGUGCACCUUUUGUAGACCUUUUCCGAAUGGUGGGCUGUGAAAGGCCUGUCGGACGGUAAAGUGUCUAUGUCUUUACAUACCCCAUAAGAAUGUAACAGAAUGUCUUUUAAUGGCCUCUGCGCCACUAAUCAAAUACAACUUUCAACAACGGAUCUCUUGGCUCUCGCAUCGAUGAAGAACGCAGCGAAAUGCGAUAAGUAAUGUGAAUUGCAGAAUUCAGUGAAUCAUCGAAUCUUUGAACGCACCUUGCGCUCCUUGGUAUUCCGAGGAGCAUGCCUGUUUGAGUGUCAUUAAACUCUCAACCUUUCCGGCUUUCACUAGCUCGGUCAGGCUUGGACGUGGGGGCUGCGGGCUUCUUUUGAAGUCGGCUCUCCUUAAAUGCAUUAGCGAAAACCUUUGGUUGACCAAAUCCCUGGUGUGAUAAUUAUCUACGCCACAGGAUAACCUUACAAGGACUUUUCGCUUCUAACCGUCCUUUUGGACAACACUUCAUGACAUUUUGACCUCAAAUCAGGUAGGACUACCCGCUGAACUUAAGCAUAUCAAUAAGCGGAGGAAAAGAAACUAA
rnacentral:sRNA from 1 species